UAAACCAUUCGUAGACGACCUGCUUCUGGGUCGGGGUUUCGUAUGUAGCAGAGCAGCUCCCUCGCUGUGAUCUAUUGAAAGUCAGCCCUUGACACAAGGGUUU
rnacentral:ncRNA from 1 species